UACGUAGGGGGCAAGCGUUGUCCGGAAUCAUUGGGCGUAAAGAGCGUGUAGGCGGCCAGAAAAGUCCGCUGUGAAAACUCGAGGCUCAACUUCGAGCUGUCGGUGGAAACUUUCUGGCUAGAGUCCGGAAGAGGAGAAUGGAAUUCCUGGUGUAGCGGUGAAAUGCGUAGAUAUCAAGAGGAACACCUGCGGCGAAGGCGGGUUGCUGGGCCGACACUGACGCUGAGGCGCGAAAGCCAGGGGAGCGAACGGG
rnacentral:rRNA from 1 species